rnacentral:rRNA from 1 species
CAGCAGCCACGGUAAUACGUAGGUGGCAAGCGUUGUCCGGAAUUAUUGGGCGUAAAGGGCUCGCAGGCGGUUUCUUAAGUCUGAUGUGAAAGCCCCCGGCUCAACCGGGGAGGGUCAUUGGAAACUGGGAAACUUGGGUGCAGGAGAGGAGAGUGGAAUUCCACGUGUAGCGGUGAAAUGCGUAGAGAUGUGGAGGAACACCAGUGGCGAAGGCGACUCUCUGGUCUGUAACUGACGCUGAGGAGCGAAAGCGUGGGGAGCGAACAGGAUUAGAUACCCCUGUAGUCCCUGUCUCUUAUAC